ACCAGCCAGUGGGCAGCCCUGUGUCCCCCUGUUUUCAGGGCUCCUGCCCCGCUCCUGGGCUGAGUGUGAGUGUUUACUCGGUGCCUUUCUCACCGCUCACAGCGUGGCAGGAGUUAUUCAAAGGCAGGCGGAAGCGAGCGCAGCAACUGAAACAACAAUGAAAAGGAAACAGAGCUCGAAAAAUUCUCCGUUCAUAAAUCAACUGAACUGCAGGUGAUCCCUGGGCAGGAGCGAGCUGAGGAAGAGACACAGCUCAGCUCGGCAUGGCCAGCAGCCAGGCAGGCUCCGACCCCCCAGGCAGGGAUGGGGGAGGCCGGGAUUUCCCAGGGUGGUCCUGAGUGGUGCUGGGGUUGCUGUCCGUGUCCCCGGGGCUGCUCAUCAGGGACUUUGAGGCAGGAAAUAGAGCUGCUGGAUUGGGACGAGCUCCUCAGUGCUGGCAGCAUCUCUGCACGGGCAGGGGAUGGGCAUGGUUGGAAAAAAUCUCCCCCUCCUGCCUCCAGUUGUGUCCUGCAGCAUCUUGCUGUAGGCAGGAUAGGGGCCAGUUUGGACAAACCUAGCUGUCACCUCUGCCAGCGCCUGUAAGCUGAGACCCAGUCCUGGGGACACCAAAAGGAACUUGUGCUUUUGGGACCAGUGGAUGGCCCCAAGGACCAGGCUGGUGACAGUGGGCUGACCUUACAGCAGAGGAAAUGACCCAGUUGUGUUCCCCACAGUGGAAAAGCCAGGAGAAAUUGCAUGUCCCCCUCUGCUGCUAUCUGUUCUCUCUCCUGUGAAUUCACUGUCAUCUUGUCUUUUGGCAGAGCUGGAAAACUGGGAGACCACCGUAAAUAAAUCCUGUGUCUUUAA